rnacentral:ncRNA from 1 species
GGGAUGAAAUAUGUAUAGAAUGCAAGACUGUAAAGAGAUAACUAAAUAUUAUUGACGUUGUGAGAUGAGGGCUACGGUAGCGACAUGGAUUCGAUACCCAUCUAUUCGUAGCAGAAAACUAUGAAUAAAAAAGUGUGAAAUUAAAAUGAAAAAUAGUCCGCCUGAUUAUGCACGCAAGGGUGAAAUACAAGACAUUAGACAGUUGUAGUCCCAAGCAGUGAAACAUGUCAUUUAAUUGGAUAAUCCGCCACAAAUCUUACCAUCUUUUGAAUAUAUCCUUAAGGUAUAUACAGGCGUUACAUUAUUGUCGUCAGUUCAGGCUGUAGAGUUUAAUUUUAAUUAAUUGAAUGAACGUAAACCUCAUACAUAGUAUAUGAUUCUUUUUUUAGAACAAUGUAAGCAAAGGAUGAAGACUAAUCAUGAUGACCCUUAUAAUAUGGGCUAUCGACGUGUUACAAUAAUAUUAUACAAAUAUAUACAACAUAUAUUUAAAAAAAAUUAAUUAGAUUUAUAUCCGUUAUGGAUUAUAGUCUGAAAUUCGACUUCAUAAGAAAGAAAUUGCUAGUAAUUGUAAACAAGAGCGUUACGGUGAAAUUAAUUGCUACUUCGUACUAACCACUCAUCAACAGCUCAAAAUAUUAAAAAUAUCAUAUAGGUAUUUAUUCUAGGACAAGCUGUAAGUUUAAAUACGGUUCGGCUAGGGGAACCUGGUCAGAAAAUAUAAUUUAU